AGUGAACGCUGGCGGUAGGCCUAACACAUGCAAGUCGAACGGCAGCACAGUAAGAGCUUGCUCUUACGGGUGGCGAGUGGCGGACGGGUGAGGAAUACAUCGGAAUCUACUUUUUCGUGGGGGAUAACGUAGGGAAACUUACGCUAAUACCGCAUACGACCUACGGGUGAAAGCAGGGGAUCUUCGGACCUUGCGCGAUUGAAUGAGCCGAUGUCGGAUUAGCUAGUUGGCGGGGUAAAGGCCCACCAAGGCGACGAUCCGUAGCUGGUCUGAGAGGAUGAUCAGCCACACUGGAACUGAGACGCGGCCCAGACUCCUACGGGAGGCAGCAGUGGGGAAUAUUGGACAAUGGGCGCAAGCCUGAUCCAGCCAUACCGCGUGGGUGAAGAAGGCCUUCGGGUUGUAAAGCCCUUUUGUUGGGAAAGAAAAGCAGCAGGUUAAUACCCCGCUGUUCUGACGGUACCCAAAGAAUAAGCACCGGCUAACUUCGUG
rnacentral:rRNA from 1 species